AUACCCUAUUAUUAAUUUGGUUAUUUAUUUUGAUUAAUAUCAGUUAAUUUCUUUAAAAAUCAAAGAUUUUGGCGGUUAAUUAAUUCUUUUUAGAGGAACAUGUAUUUUAAUUGAUAGUCCACAAUAAUUUAUAUCAAAAAUUAUAUUUGUAUAUCUCUAUUGUUAGAUGAUUAUUAAAAUUAUUUUCUUUUUUUUUAAAAAAUUAAUUUUAGGUCAAGGUGCAGUUUUUUUUUGGGUUUUAUGUGUUACUUAAAUUUUAUAUAAAGUUAAUUCUUUUAGAUUUAUUUAGGAUUUAAAAGUAAAUAUGAUUAAUUAGUUAUGUUGAAAUUAGCACUAAUUAAUGUACACAUC
rnacentral:rRNA from 1 species